UACAGAGGGUGCAAGCGUUGCUCGGAAUUAUUGGGCGUAAAGGGUAGGUAGGUGGUCUCGUUUGUCUGAGGUGAAAGCCCUGGGCUUAACCUAGGAAGUGCCUCGGAAACGGCGAGACUGGAGUCCUGGAGAGGGUCGUGGAAUUCCCGGUGUAGCGGUGAAAUGCGCAGAUAUCGGGAAGAACACCCGUGGCGAAGGCGGGUCUCUGGGCCAUUACUGACGCUGAGGAGCGAAAGCGUGGGGAGCGAACAGG
rnacentral:rRNA from 1 species